GCGGACGUGGCGGAACUGGUAGACGCGCAGCCUUGAGGAGGCUGUGGGAGCAAUCUCGUGGAGGUUCAAGUCCUCUCGUCCGCA
rnacentral:tRNA from 1 species